rnacentral:lncRNA from 1 species
CCAAAUGGGCUCCCGUGUAUUUCACAGAGCUGGAAAAGGGAAAUUUGCUGUGUUCUUAACCAGAGCUCUUAUUUUCUCAUUUUUGUCACAGGAAUGACCCAGAACAGGAAGGAAGGCUGCCCUCCAGAGCGUGCAUGAGAGACAUCUCCAGACCCCAGGGAGACAUGGUGUGGAGUUGAAAGCUGCUUCUGAAUCUUCCCAGAUUCCCUGCUUCUGCCACCCCCAUUUAACUCGGACAACAGGAUUUCUCAGUCUCAGCUGUGCUUGGCUCCCACUUCACAGGCUGUCAAAUGACUGCUCCAGAAGUACAUAAAAAUAAGAGCCUUGAAUGGGUGGUGACUCCCCAGGGUGCUCCAUGAUCCGGAAGACAAACUGGUGGUGCCGCCUCUGGGGGUACAGGUCUGCCUCUCCUCCCAGGACACAUCCACUCCUGUAUAUCUCAUCAGCCAGAGAACAUCAGGAGCCGUGCAAUUUGUUGCUGCCCCACCUUGGGGUUUCCCACUGGGGCCCCCAGCACUGAUUCACGGGAAUACUCUACAGUACCCCAGCAGUUCCUCACAGGAUGCAAUUGUCACUGCCGUUGGAAGCCAAUCAACGCGUUGUGAGUGGGAGCCCGCUGGUGCUUUCCAAUGGUCCUUGAUUAAAAAGGAAGCUCUUGGCUAUCUUCAAGCAGCAGGAGAGGAAACAGCACGGGUGAAGCUUAUCUUGGAGCACUGGAAUAUUUAUAAUAUUUUGCUGAUACCUGGAUGCAGUGGAAUUCAAGCAUGA